rnacentral:misc_RNA from 1 species
UGAUUUUGAACAACAUAAAUGGAGCUCAGAUAUUUCCAAAUGAGAACCUUAGAUUGGUUGAUGUUCGAGAUGUUGCAAAUGCACAUAUUCAAGCUUUUGAAAGACCUUCAGCUANNNNNNNNNNNNNUUUAGUUGCAAGGGUUACACACUUCUCUGAAGUUUUGGAGAUUGUGCAUGAACACUACCCCACUUUGGGACUUCCAGAAAGAUGUGCAGAUGACAAGCCUUUUGUGUCAAAAUAUGAGGUAUCUAAAGAAAAAGUGAAAACUUUGGGUAUCGAUUUCAUUCCUGUGGAGGUUACUCUUAAGGACACAAUUGAAAGUUUGAAGG